CGCAGCGCCGGAAGCGGUGAGGCACAGUUGAGUAACGUGAAUUUGUCCGUCUCCGACUUCUGGAGAUUUAUUUUUUUUAGAUGAGGUCUUGCUGUGUUGCCCAAGCUGGACUUGAACCCCUAGGCUCAAGCAAUCCUUCCACCUCCGUCUCCCAAGUAGCAGGGACUACAGACGGUGUCUCACUCUGUCACCCAUGCUGGAGUGCAAUGGCGUGAUCUCGGCUCACUGCAGCCUCCGCCUCCUGGGUUCAAGUGAUUCUCCUGCCUCAGCCUCCUGAGUACUGGGACUACAGAGUGAUGAUGCGGGUGUGCUGGUUGGUGAGACAGGACAGCCGGCACCAGCGAAUCAGACUUCCACAUUUGGAAGCAGUUGUGAUUGGGCGUGGCCCAGAGACCAAGAUCACUGAUAAGAAAUGUUCUCGACAGCAAGUACAGUUGAAAGCAGAGUGUAACAAGGGAUAUGUCAAGGUAAAGCAGGUAGGAGUCAAUCCCACCAGCAUUGACUCAGUCGUAAUUGGGAAGGACCAAGAGGUGAAGCUGCAGCCUGGCCAGGUUCUCCACAUGGUGAAUGAACUUUAUCCAUAUAUUGUAGAGUUUGAGGAAGAGGCAAAGAACCGUGGCCUGGAAACACACAGGAAGAGAAAGAGAUCAGGCAACAGUGAUUCUAUAGAAAGGGAUGCUGCUCAGGAAGCUGAGGCUGGGACAGGGCUGGAACCUGGGGGCAACCCUGGCCAAUGCUCUGUGCCCCUAAAGAAGGGAAAAGAUGCACCUAUCAAAAAGGAAUCCCUGGGCCACUGGAGUCAAGGCUUGAAGAUUUCUAUGCAGGACCCCAAAAUGCAGGUUUACAAAGAUGAGCAGGUGGUGGUGAUAAAGGAUAAAUACCCAAAGGCCCGUUACCAUUGGCUGGUCUUACCGUGGACCUCCAUUUCCAGUCUGAAGGCUGUGACCAGGGAACACCUUGAACUCCUUAAGCAUAUGCACACUGUGGGGGAAAAGGUGAUUGUAGAUUUUGCUGGGUCCAGCAAACUCCGCUUCCGAUUGGGCUACCACGCCAUUCCGAGUAUGAGCCAUGUACAUCUUCAUGUGAUCAGCCAGGAUUUUGAUUCUCCUUGCCUUAAAAACAAAAAACAUUGGAAUUCUUUCAAUACAGAAUACUUCCUAGAAUCACAAGUUCCAUUCGAGUGUUCUAUGGCCCUCCAGAGACAGGCAUCCUGCAAGGCCAGAUUUCAAGACCAAAUUUGCUUGAGUCUGAGAAUGACACACGUGAAGGUCAUUUUGGAAAAGUGGGCAGAUGCAAGAUAAAUAUACAAAAAGCACCAACUUCUCCCUGUAUUAGCACUCCCCACCGCAGCUGCCCCUACCCUUCCCUUCGAUGACGACGUUUGCAGGGUUCAGGGCGACCAGGGAACAAAGCUGGGGCCUGGCAGACCCACUACGCUGCCAGCUGGAGAGAACAAGUCACAAUGACAAAUUAUCACAAUUAGCGCCUGUACUUGGGGGAAUCUGCAAAUUGGGGAAGCCCCAGCUCCUCAUUGUACAGGGGUCUGUUUGGCAGUGACCUUGCUCUGGAGAUGACAUUCCUUCAGCCUGAGGGAAUUGACGUUGAUGAACCCGUGGCAUCAAUCGGCUCAUAAUCCCCCUGCACGUUCAUGCUCACCAGCUCCUCGUUGUAGAGAGACAGUGGGGACUCCCGACCGAGGAUAUACACCUGGCCCUUGAGGACGGACACCUGCACUUUCCCUUCUACUCAUUCCCGGGACUUGGCGUUACAGUGGCGGACAAAUUCACACUCAGGGCUAUGCCAGAAACCGGUAUACACCAGCUCAGCAAAUUUCAAGCCCAGGCCUUGUUUGAUUUUGCGCACUUCUCGGUACAUGGUGAAGGCCUUGAUGUCUAAAUGAGUGUGGUGAAGGAUGGUGCCUGCUGGGGCCUCGCAGAUACCUCAGGACUUCAUUCCAAUGAAGCGGUUCUCCACGAUGUCAAUACAGCCCACGCCGUGCUUGCCUGCAACUUCAUUCAGGUCAUUGCAGCCCUUGAACCGGUUGUAGAACUCGGGCAUCCUCCAGGGAGCAGUGACCUUUAUCUGGGGGGCCAGCAAGUAGCAGGUGAGCUCAAACCGGACCUGAUCAUUUCCCUUUCCCGUGGUGCCGUGGAACACACACUUGGCCUCCUCCCGCUGGGCGAUUUCCACUUGUUUGCCGGCGAUGCCGGGCCUGGCCAGAGAGGUGCCCAGGAGGUAGCAGUUCUCAUACAGUGCGCUGGACUGGAUGGCCGGCCAGAUGAACUCCUCCACAAACUCCCUGCUGGCAUCCUCAAUGAACACCUUUUUGGUCCCAAGCUUCAGUGCCUUCUUCCUGGCUUCCUCGAAGUCUUCCUUCUGGCCAGUGUUGGCCAGGUAGGCAAUGAUGUCAUAGCCUUGUUCCUUCAGCCACACGAGGAUGCAGGAGGUGUCCGGGCUGCCACUGUAGGCCAGAACCACUGAGCCUUUGCCGGACAUAGCAUCUGGGAUUGGAGGCUCGAGUUCCUGGCAUCUGCCAUCUGUCUUCACGGUGCGGUGAACCACUCGGGCUCAGGGAGCGGUGGCAGGCGACAGAGCAGGGAGUAUAAUUUCAAAAUACCAAACCAUCCACAAAAACCCAGAGAAUAGUACCCAUAACCCAGCUUCAACAAUUGUCAAUAUUCUGCCCUUCUUGUUUCAUCCUGCCUCUCCACCUUACCUACUGGAGUACUACUUUAAAGCAAGUUUCAGAAAUCAAAAUAAUUUCACCUUGACAGUAAAAUUAAUAAGAUAUAAGACCUAUUUAAAGUUAUAAAAGCUCAAUUAAAAUUAUAAAUGUUAUCU